ACAGACUUUGUUUGCACUUCUUAAAGUAUUUAAACUUGCACACAGGAUAAAAUAAAACACGGUCCAACCUCAGGACUUCCUGUGUUCAGUACUGAAGGGUCACAAACUCAAAUGCCAGAUCCCUAAUUCUAGCUAUACCAAAAUCAGAAUAAAUCAGAUGGGAUUUUUUCCCCUUCAAGUAUAGGUAAAACUCUUUAAAAAGAAAGAAAGUUUACAGAUUCAAAGGAAUGCUAUAUAGAGAGCAUUUUCUGCCAGCCAGAAUGCUACAGUAGCAAGUCCACUGAUUCAAAUGUAGAAGUCACACAUUGCUGCUUCUUCUUGAAGUUCUUCAGGUGGAGGAGGUUGGUCUAGCUUCAGUUUAGCUCUAAUGAAUUUCAUGUGGUCUAAUCAUGUGUUUUUGGUUUUCCAGGCAACAGUAUGUGUUAGGGUCCAGAGCUUUAGUUUUCCAAGCAAGGAUAUAUAUUUGGGUUCAGAGCUUAAAAUUUGGGGGUAUACAUACACCCAGAGUCUGCCAGCCAGCAUGAUCACUGGCCAUUCAAGUGAGGACAUUCUCGGAAUUAUAGUCCAGAAAAUUAACUUUGAAAAGUUCUGUUUGGAAGCUCUUAACAGUUAAUCCAAUCUGUUCUUCCCACUUUUCAGUAUGCUUUAAAUAGAUAAAAGUAGACCAUUAGGCUGUCUAGUUUUGCACAUUGCAAUUAGGCCCAGCUCUAACAAUAGGCAGUGUGUGACAAGGCCUCAGUCUUGUGUACUGGGAAAGAUCAGUAAAUUGUUAUUUAAUUCCUUACUAUUUUAUUUUUUUACUAUCAGGGAUGGGGAUGAUCAGCUUAAGUUCCAAUUACUCCAGUGAAGAUUCCAUGGAUAACAUCAAGAGCCAGUUCAAUACAUGAUGCCGCCUAAGGGAAAGCAACAAAUUUCAAACCCCAUCCCAAAUCAAGAUGCUUUAUUUUCGGAAAGAAUACCAGAUGAAAAUAUACUAAAGAUGGCUGUGGUUCUUUGAAGGCAAAGAAGAAACAAACAACCCUGAAAACUGAAAAAAGAGAAUAUUGAAAUCUGGUUUAAGAAAAAAUCUUGACGAAGGGAAGAAGAGAAUGCUUUAUGACCACUGGAGUGGUCUUAUGCCCAUGCCUUAACUUGUUCAGAGUGUUGCAAAGUAAAUUAAGGCAGGCCUGUUAUUUUCAAAUGCUUUUGAACCAACCCAGGGCUACGAGAAGUAUUACAGCUCCUGUUUUACCCAUAUUGGUCAAGAAAACUCAUUCUCUUGUUGUUGUUUUUCCGAAGAGAGAAUUAUUGAUAAAAAGCUAAGAAGAAGACAAAUGUAGGCUCCACGUAAGAGCAAAGUGUGCUAAUGGGGAUAAGCCUUUUUCCUGCUCUUACAACCUGCUUUUGAAUUGCAGUAAACAGCUAACUGAUAAUCACUAUACAGAAAGACGAUAAACAGUAGAUUCAAACCUACUCUUAAGCAAAAAUAGAAAGAAUAUUCAAAAAUAUUGCAAAAAUGGUUGAAAGACAUGUUUCUCAAGCGCAGAGAAGAAAAAUCCUGGGCUGACAAGAAUCUUUGUACUUUUGGACUUACUGCAUACAAAAUUCACAUCAGAAAACAACAUUUUAUACAUACAAAAUUAAUAACCUGCUUCUGGAUGGAAAAUUGGGUUUUUCACAAAAGGGAACAUGUUUUUCAUCUUAGAUUGAGAUAUUUGAAUAUGGGAGAAUACUGUGAGGAAUACUCAUUUUCUUUUUCCAGUGGCAUGAAAAAAAAAAUUGUCUUCAAGUGCAAAGACAAAAUUUACAUCUCUUAAGAGUUUGUGAAAAUUAGCACAAAACGUUAGGUUUUUAACACAACUAGGAAACAUUGUUUUAAAAGCUAUCUAGCCUCAAAAGUUUAGCAUCCCCAAAGGACCCUUAAUGACACUGUCAGUUUUUGAAAGUAUAAAUGAAAACAUAACAUAUAAAGAUACUUUUGAUAUUCCUUUGUGCAGCAAUAACUGAAAUGGCAAAAGCACCGAAGAAUCUGCCAGGCCUUUCAUUUUUUAGAUAGUUAGAAUUUUAACGUGAGCCCAGAUGGUAAAACUGGUUUAUAAAACCUGGAAGGCAAGAGGAGAGGUUAUAAAGCACCAUUAUUAUGGUUACUUCAAAAACAAACUUUGCCUAUGAACUACCAUUGAAACAUGAUUUUGAACUGACAUAUUGUAACUUGGUUUUUGUUGUUCUUUAAUUGGAUUGGCUUUCUAUCUAUAUUUGUAUUACUGACAUGAAAAAAAUAGAUGAAAAAAUACAAUUACUUUUUCAAGAUAAAAAAACAAAGUUUAAUAUCCAAAUUUAUUCUUUGGUGAAGUAACUGCAAGGUAUAGAUGGAUGAGAAUUUCAUUUCAAUUAAUUUUGCUUUAUGGUUAUACAAGAAAAUUUGGCAUUUAUAUAUUAAGUGCAGCAGCAGUAGAAUGUACUCCAACAGUAUAUAUCUCAGCUUAAUAAUAAACAGGAUACAUAAAUAAGGUAAAAAUAAGAAUUAUUUUAUUAUUAUAAAGUAUUCAUCUAGGUUCUAGGAAAAAGGUAAUCAGUAGAGAACACUGUACAAGGAUCCCUAGAGCUGAUCCCCAUAUAUGUUGACAAGAAGGAAAAAACAUCCUCAGAGGAACAGCCUUAUGUCUCCAUCCAUCUUGGAUGAUGGUAGGAAGAAGAAGAACUUGGAACAAA